UACGUAGGGUGCAAGCGUUAAUCGGAAUUACUGGGCGUAAAGCGUGCGCAGGCGGCUUUGCAAGACAGAUGUGAAAUCCCCGGGCUCAACCUGGGAACUGCAUUUGUGACUGCAAGGCUAGAGUUCGGCAGAGGGGGAUGGAAUUCCGCGUGUAGCAGUGAAAUGCGUAGAUAUGCGGAGGAACACCGAUGGCGAAGGCAAUCCCCUGGGCCUGUACUGACGCUCAUGCACGAAAGCGUGGGGAGCAAACAGG
rnacentral:rRNA from 1 species